UCUAACUCCCGACACUAGCUCGUAUGGGGAACAUUGUAUCUCCGAUGUGCCCGAUGCAUCUACGCCUUUGAUUUGGUUCAUCCUCCAUCGUGACCAUCCAAUCUAAACACAUGCUUGGCCUGGUCUACACGACUCGAGCUAGCUUCUUAUGUCAUCCAAUGGUUCAUCAAAAUCAAUGAUUUAAAAAAUAUUCGGUCCGCACGAAAUUGUCUGGUCUGACUAGAGAAUCGGUCCACCCAUACCGAUUCUGUCAAUAUAUAGGUAAUCGUUUAGGUUUACAAGAGAAUCGACGAUUUGCUACUAUAAAAUGGUAUAUUGCUACAGCAAAAAGGAUGUUUUCCUAUAGUAAAAACACUGAUUAACCGAUCCAAACCGAUUUUUGGCCGGUUCACUAUUUUUUCUACAUAUCCGAUUCAGAUUCGAACAGGUUUUUAUUAUUC
rnacentral:lncRNA from 1 species